rnacentral:rRNA from 1 species
AUACGUAGGGUGCAAGCGUUAAUCGGAAUUACUGGGCGUAAAGCGUGCGCAGGCGGUUUUGUAAGACAGUGGAGAAAUCCCCGGGCUCAACCUGGGAACUGCCAUUGUGACUGCAAGGCUAGAGUGCGGCAGAGGGGGAUGGAAUUCCGCGUGUAGCAGUGAAAUGCGUAGAUAUGCGGAGGAACACCGAUGGCGAAGGCAAUCCCCUGGGCCUGCACUGACGCUCAUGCACGAAAGCGUGGGGAGCAAACAGGAUUAGAUACCCCAGUAGUCC